UACGUAGGUGGCAAGCGUUGUCCGGAAUUAUUGGGCGUAAAGCGCGCGCAGGCGGUCUUUUAAGUCUGAUGUGAAAGCCCACGGCUCAACCGUGGAGGGUCAUUGGAAACUGGAGGACUUGAGUGCAGAAGAGGAGAGUGGAAUUCCACGUGUAGCGGUGAAAUGCGUAGAGAUGUGGAGGAACACCAGUGGCGAAGGCGACUCUCUGGUCUGUAACUGACGCUGAGGAGCGAAAGCAUGGGGAGCGAACAGG
rnacentral:rRNA from 1 species